GGAAUUUUCGGCGUACUGUUUCUUGCUUCUGACAUCAUUAAUCAAGAUAGCUGCGGCGAGGAAAGCAACGGAAGUAUUGAUUAUGUUAUUUCUUCGUAUCACCAAGGAUAAUCCGCCAAGGUCGCACGUGCCCUUAAUUACAAUUAACAGCAUGGAGCCGAACAUGAUGAAGGUCUGAAUGAAAUCCGUCCACACCACCGCCUUGAGGCCGCCCUGUGUAGAAUAUGCAAACGAUGCACACGAAGGGAGUGACUAUGUGCACAUUCACCCCCGUCACUAAAAGAAGAAUAAUGAAAGAAAAAUUA